UACGUAGGGUGCAAGCGUUAUCCGGAAUUAUUGGGCGUAAAGAGCUCGUAGGCGGUUUGUCGCGUCUGCUGUGAAAACUGGAGGCUCAACCUCCAGCCUGCAGUGGGUACGGGCAAACUAGAGUGCGGUAGGGGAGACUGGAAUUCCUGGUGUAGCGGUGAAAUGCGCAGAUAUCAGGAGGAACACCGGUGGCGAAGGCGGGUCUCUGGGCCGUAACUGACGCUGAGGAGCGAAAGCAUGGGGAGCGAACAGG
rnacentral:rRNA from 1 species